AUUGAACGCUGGCGGAAUGCUUUACACAUGCAAGUCGAACGGCAGCACGGGGGCAACCCUGGUGGCGAGUGGCGAACGGGUGAGUAAUACAUCGGAACGUGCCCAGUCGUGGGGGAUAACGUAGCGAAAGCUACGCUAAUACCGCAUACGAACUGAGGUUGAAAGCGGGGGAUCGCAAGACCUCGCGCGAUUGGAGCGGCCGAUGGCAGAUUAGGUAGUUGGUGGGGUAAAGGCUCACCUAGCCGACGAUCUGUAGCUGGUCUGAGAGGACGACCAGCAACACUGGGACUGAGACACGGCCCAGACUCCUACGGGAGGCAGCAGUGGGGAAUUUUGGACAAUGGGCGAAAGCCUGAUCCAGCCAUUCCGCGUGCAGGAUGAAGGCCCUCGGGUUGUAAACUGCUUUUGUACGGAACGAAAAGGCUUUCUCUAAUACAGAGAGCUCAUGACGGUACCGUAAGAAUAAGCACCGGCUAACUACGUGCCAGCAGCCGCCGCCGUAA
rnacentral:rRNA from 1 species